GACGAACGCUGGCGGCGUGCUUAACACAUGCAAGUCGAACGGAAAGGCCCUGCUUUUGUGGGGUGCUCGAGUGGCGAACGGGUGAGUAACACGUGAGUAACCUGCCCUUGACUUUGGGAUAACUUCAGGAAACUGGGGCUAAUACCGGAUAGGAGCUCCUGCUGCAGGGUGGGGGUUGGAAAGUUUCGGCGGUUGGGGAUGGACCCGCGGCUUAUCAGCUUGUUGGUGGGGUAGUGGCUUACCAAGGCUUUGACGGGUGGCCGGCCUGAGAGGGUGACCGGCCACAUUGGGACUGAGAUACGGCCCAGACUCCUACGGGAGGCAGCAGUGGGGAAUAUUGCACAAUGGGCGGAAGCCUGAUGCAGCAACGCCGCGUGCGGGAUGACGGCCUUCGGGUUGUAAACCGCUUUCGCCUGUGACGAAGCGUGAGUGACGGUAAUGGGUAAAGAAGCACCGGCUAACUACGUG
rnacentral:rRNA from 1 species